AUUCUCACCCCUAAUCCAGUGGUUUUCAAACUUUUUUCUGGGGACCCAGUUGAAGAAAAUGUUUGAUGCCCACAACCCAAUGGAACUGGGAAUGAGGAGUUUAGGGUGUGGGAGGGGCUCAGGGCUGGGGCAGAGGAU